UCCGUUGGUGAACCAGCGGAGGGAUCAUUACUGAGUUUACGCUCUAUAACCCUUUGUGAACAUACCUAUAACUGUUGCUUCGGCGGGUAGGGUCUCCGCGACCCUCCCGGCCUCCCGCCUCCGGGCGGGUCGGCGCCCGCCGGAGGAUAACCAAACUCUGAUUUAACGACGUUUCUUCUGAGUGGUACAAGCAAAUAAUCAAAACUUUUAACAACGGAUCUCUUGGUUCUGGCAUCGAUGAAGAACGCAGCGAAAUGCGAUAAGUAAUGUGAAUUGCAGAAUUCAGUGAAUCAUCGAAUCUUUGAACGCACAUUGCGCCCGCCAGCAUUCUGGCGGGCAUGCCUGUUCGAGCGUCAUUUCAACCCUCAAGCUCUGCUUGGUGUUGGGGCCCUACAGCUGAUGUAGGCCCUCAAAGGUAGUGGCGGACCCUCCCGGAGCCUCCUUUGCGUAGUAACUUUACGUCUCGCACUGGGAUCCGGAGGGACUCUUGCCGUAAAACCCCCCAAUUUCCAAAGG
rnacentral:rRNA from 1 species